UCCUUAUAACGAGCCGGGGGAGGAAACUGGUCUUUUGAUCCCGCAGCAACCUCUAUCAAAGUCAUAGAAGGUGCUCCUUCCAGCAGACCAUGGUCUGAAAGAUAAGGA
rnacentral:ncRNA from 2 species